AAAGCGGAGGAAAGGAUUCCAACCGGGAUUGCCUUAGUAACGGCGAGUGAAGCGGCAAAAGCUCAAAUUUGAAAUCUGGUACCUUCGGUGCCCGAGUUGUAAUUUGGAGAGGGCAACUUUGGGGCCGUUCCUUGUCUAUGUUCCUUGGAACAGGACGUCAUAGAGGGUGAGAAUCCCGUGUGGCGAGGAGUGCGGUUCUUUGUAAAGUGCCUUCGAAGAGUCGAGUUGUUUGGGAAUGCAGCUCUAAGUGGGUGGUAAAUUCCAUCUAAAGCUAAAUAUUGGCGAGAGACCGAUAGCGAACAAGUACAGUGAUGGAAAGAUGAAAAGAACUUUGAAAAGAGAGUGAAAAAGUACGUGAAAUUGUUGAAAGGGAAGGGCAUUUGAUCAGACAUGGUGUUUUGUGCCCUCUGCUCCUUGUGGGUAGGGGAAUCUCGCAUUUCACUGGGCCAGCAUCAGUUUUGGUGGCAGGAUAAAUCCAUAGGAAUGUAGCUUGCCUCGGUAAGUAUUAUAGCCUGUGGGAAUACUGCCAGCUGGGACUGAGGACUGCGACGUAAGUCAAGGAUGCUGGCAUAAUGGUUAUAUGCCGCCCGUCUUGAAACAACGGAC
rnacentral:rRNA from 1 species